CACCAAAUAUAGAUGCUCCAUUCUCUAAGUGUAUAAUUUCUCUCUAAUAGCUAAAUGUUACAUGAGACACAAAGCAAAGGCUAUAACAAAAAAAAUAUUCAUCUUGUUAGGAAGGACAUCAUCAAGUCCUUGAAAAAAAUACUAGCCUUGUCUCAAUAGAAAAAAAAGAGAGAGCACAAUCAAGUAAAGGAGCCAUCUAGCCAUUAUACUCAUACCAUCUUUCCACA
rnacentral:lncRNA from 1 species